rnacentral:siRNA from 1 species
UUGUGCGAAUCAACGGUUCCU